rnacentral:rRNA from 1 species
GUGCCAGCAGCCGCGGUAAUACGUAGGGUGCGAGCGUUAAUCGGAAUUACUGGGCGUAAAGCGUGCGCAGGCGGCUAUAUAAGACAGUUGCGAAAUCCCCGGGCUUAACCUGGGAAUGGCGCUUGUGACUGCACGACUGGAGUGCGGCAGAGGGGGAUGGAAUUCCGCGUGUAGCAGUGAAAUGCGUAGAUAUGCGGAGGAACACCGAUGGCGAAGGCAGUCCCCUGGGCCUGCACUGACGCUCAUGCACGAAAGCGUGGGGAGCAAACAGGAUUAGAU